rnacentral:sRNA from 1 species
GACAACCAGAAGGUGUACGCCGUGUACCGGGGCCCGGAGGAAUUGGGCGCCGGGCCCGAGAGCCCCCCGCGCGCCCCCCGCGACUGGGGCGCGCUGUUGCUCCACAAGGCCCAGAUCCUGGCGCUGGCAGAAGACAAAUCUGACCUUGAAAACAGUGUGAUGCAGAAGAAAAUAAAAAUCCCCAAGCUUUCUCUUAAUCAUGUAGAAGAAGAUGGAGAGGUUAAAGAUUAUGGGGAAGAAGAUUUACAGCUUAGACACAUCAAGGUAACAAAAUCUUUCCUUUCUUUGGAAGUAUGCGGGAGCAUUUUCAGAUAUCUCAUAGCUAAAGAGUUUCAGUCUGGCUUCCUCUCCCCAUGUAAAUGUCCCCUGGUAUCACAGGCUAUGAUUUUUUCAGGGUAGUGAAAGCGUGGGACAACUCGUGUGUAUUUGCCUUGCUGGCCAACUUUCUAGAGAGCCCUGAUUCAUGCUGUGCCACCAAGCUUGGUCCUGUUUGCACAGUCUGUGCAGUGUCAUCGCUGUUGGAGGUUUGGAACGGUGUGUUUCUCCUUGGCCC